AGGGUAGGGAGGGAGGCGAGAGAAUGAUAGCCAGGCUGCAAGGGCUGCAGAAGGGCCGCGUGCCUGGGAGGCUUAGAGAGAGACUUCCGGGAUGAAAGGUUUCUAGGGAGAAGUGGGGCACAGCUCCUGUUGGCAGGGGGCUUAGGGCAGUAGGUGGGGAUGGGACAUGGGGUAUUGCCCUGGGACCACCACCCUAGGUUUACCAGUUUGUUUAGGGCUGGAGCAGAGAGGGAGGGUCAGAGACACUUGUGCUCGGCCCCUCCCCUGUCUUUUCACCCUAGACAACUUCCAGCUAUGCUGUGAAAAUCAUAUGCAAAUUAACUCAUUAGCUUGCCUGGCUAACACCUCAGACGUCUUCCUAAUGGAGGGAGCGGUGGACUGUACUUUCACAGGCUCCCUCAAACCCUCCUGAACAGCUUAAGGAGAGAAACAGGCAGAGCUGAGGGGCUAUUACUGAAAUAAGAGCCAAGCAUCCCGUGCUUAAAUGUACCUGUCUCUACUUAUCACCCCUAGUUGAACUCCGUGUCCUGGACUCCCCCUCUCCCCAUCCUGGGGCCUCCCAGAGGAGUUUCCCUCUUCUGUUCUUUUGGCUGUCUUCAGCGCUGUGCCUGGAGGUACCUCGAAUGCCCUCUUCAGAAGAGAGCGACGGGCGUGGCUUGUGGCCCAUUCAAGGAUGUGAAGUAGAGCGGCAGCAAUGGAUCGAUCCAUCAAUCUAUCGAUCGGCCCUGUGGUCUGUGCCUCAUUCAAGCUGUGCUCUGGCCUCCUGAGUAGUCCCAGCAGCCUUCGAAGCCACUGUGGACACCACUGUGGACCACGGGCUGCGUUUACAGUCAACAACUCUAGUUUACUGAGGAGAAAACAAGACUUUUAUUAAGCCAGUUUUGCCCAGGGCCUCUUAACCAAGAAGUGAGAGUUGGAACUUGAAUCCAGAUCCCUGUGGUUUCAAAGCCAGGCUCAUUUAUCACUCGCAAAGGCUGGUGCUGGGACACCUGCCGGGGAGCUGGUCUGCUGGCUGAGGGGUCCAGCAUCGGCUUUUCUUGGUCUCUCUAGAGCCCUGAGCUUUAAUUCUGUAGUUCACCUGUCGUGUUCCUCCAAUGUCUGCUGCACAUAUCCCUUCCCUGGAGAUGUUUGGCAUGUUAGGACACAUGUGUCAUUAUUGUUGUCUUUUACUUCACUUUGUGGGGGCGACAAGGAAGAGAAAAUGGAAAAUGCUGAUAAAGGAGAAGACAGGAAGGCAGGAAGUGUGUAAUUUUAACCCAACUUUCAGUAUCUGUGGCAAUGGGUGGCUCUGAAGACCAGGGCUAGAGUUGUGGAAAGUGGAGCUUGUGAGGGGGACAGGAAACCUGGUUCCCUUACUUUGUCAUGAGAGCCUGGGGACCCCAGUGAGGUGGCACUUUGUGCACUUUACAUGGUUCAAGUACAGAACUUGUGUCUACGGGCUAGACCUAGGGAAAAUACUGGUGACAACAUUAGUGACAGUGAGAGGCGGGGGCUACAAGUGUCCCUCUGCUGGCAGGCUGGGGAGAUGGCUCAGUGGUUAGAGAACGUGCUGAGGUCAUAUCCCCAGUACUCAUGUGUGCCUGAAAACCAGAAUCCCUUCCCUCAAGAUGCUUUAAUUUGGAGGGACUCCCCUCCCCAACUCAUUUACAAGGUGGUGAUGUCCUAACAGGUUGGAGGUCACAGGGGUCCCCCAAGCCCUUACUCUCCCCAGCCUGGGCCCCUGGAGCCUGUCUGUCCUUACCCUUCUCUUUCCACCAGGGAGCUCUGGACCCUGGCAGCAAGGGUAAGACCUCAGGAGGAUCAAGGACAGGGGACAUAACCCUGUAUUUUAACCCCUUGUUUGCCUGAUGCAAGAGGCUCUAUGACCCUUUAUCUCCCGAAUCAUUCAGAUCUUGCCUGCCUUCCUUCCUAUCACCACCAAUAAACUUAAUCUUAGAAAAUAA
rnacentral:lncRNA from 1 species